UAGGCUCGAACCGAGCCGAGCUCAGGCUCUAACUUCAUAAAAACAUGACGAGCUGAGCUCGAGCCUAGUCGAGCUCGGGCUCAGCCCAACUCGUUUACACCCCUACUCAAAAUAAAUGUGAAAUAUGAUUCUAAACAAAAUGUUGAUCAUCAAUCAAACAACACCUGACUAGUAACAUAACAGUGAUAAAGUUGAACAUACACAUGCUGUUGUCAUUUAUGUUGUGUUCUCUGCAAUCAACAAAACAACCACCAUACAACAAUGGAAUACACUGGACAAAAAAUACCAGCACCACCCAGAAACAAAAAUAAAAGGAAAAAUAAUAUUCCAUAACAAUAAGAUAAUCUCCAUAGAUAUGUAAAUGAUUCUUAUGAUCUACAACACAUCUUCUUUUCUGGAAUUACUUGUGCAGGACCCGGGACAAUGAUCUUCUUGCCAGCCAAAGAACCCGAAUUCUCCUUUUGUUCCUCACCCGCGGUCAAAUUUUUCUUGUUGACUAUUCUGAAGAUUUCAGUCAAAACAGUCAAGAAUGCAUCUUCUACGUUUGUUGACUCGAGUGCGGAUGUUUCCAGAAAGAAUAAUCCUUCCUUUUCAGCAAACUCCUUGGCGUCCUCUGUGGGGACCGCCCGUUGGUCUUCCAGAUCACAUUUGUUUCCAAUGAGAAUGAUUACGAUGUUUUUGUCUGCAUGGUUACGUAACUCUUCUAGCCACCGUGGGAUGUGGUCAAAUGUUUGGCGUUUUGUUAUGUCGUAAACCAACAUCGCUCCUACUGCACCCCUGUAGUAUGCACUUGUCACUGCUCUACACCUUUCCUGACCAGCAGUAUCCCAGAUCUGAGCUUUAACAGACUUGUGCUGAAUAACAAGAGUUCGAGUCUGAAACUCGACACCAAUAGUAGCUUUGGAGUCCAAACUGAACUCGUUUCUGGCGAAUCGAUCGAGUAUCUGUGACUUGCCGACCGCUGAGUCUCCGAUUAGCACCACUUUGAAGACAUAGUCUAUCUUUUGGCUCGGAUCACUGUAUCCACCACCACUGGCCAUUGAUUGAUUUGUGAUAAUGUGAACAGAAAGUGUUGUGAAGAAUGUUGGUGAGUUU
rnacentral:lncRNA from 1 species